UAUUCAUGUUCAAAGACUUGUAACCGUCGAACCAUCUACGGUUACACGAGUUGUGGCUUCUUGUGGCUGUCCAGAUGUGCAAACUACAGAUAUGAAUCAUACAUUUGCUACAAGCAGUGCAGUCGACGCCUGUGUUGUACCGGAUAUCACGGGUCGGAUUGCAGGCAACCAAUUUGUUUCGGAUCGAACAGUUGCCCAAACGGCGGAACUUGUAGAGCCCCAGAUACAUGUAGUUGUCGUACAGGAUUUUCCGGAUCAAAGUGUUCAG